CCACACCCAGCUAAUUUUUUAAGUGUUUGUAGUAGAGACGGCGGUUUCACCAUAUUGGCCAGGCUGGUCUCAAACUCCCAACCUCAGGUCAUCUGCCUGCCUCAGCCUCACAAAUUGGUGGGAUUACAGGCAUGAGCCACUGUGCCUGGUCUGGAGAUAUUAUCGUUAUAAUCCUAAUCAGCAAAUAAAUCUGUCUUCUACUAUAUUAGCCCUAUCUUCCAAUGCUAUUAGCUAUACAAACAUCCUUAUGAAGACGGUCUAGAACAAACGCUGACACAAGAUGUGCAGAAAUGUAAGAGACACAUGGGGAAUUGUUGCACAGCAUAGAGAAUCUUUCUUGUUGGGAUAUUCUUCUCUUUCUAAACAUGUUUCUGAAGAUCUUGGAAUGGGAAGUGUAAACGUUCAACUUAAAGUGUAAAGUGGAGCAAAAAGCUGCAAAACUUGAAUGUAUGUUUUUAUUAACUACGUAGAGACAUCUAUUCUAGGAAAACCUCGGGGGAGACUUGCUAAGAUGUUCAUAGUCCUCCUCUGGGCAAUGAGUCUAGGAGCCACUGUUUUUCUUCAUUUGGAAUGUUCAUAGUCCCCCUUGGCCAGGGUUCUCUGGUUUGCAGAGAUGAGAGCUGGUUUUAUUGAGCACUGACCCUGCCCUGAGCACAUGCGACAUUCUUGCCAUACACAGUCUCAUCAGCUGGAGUUUACUUGCUUCCUUUGACUCAUGGGGAAACCAAGGCUCAGAGAAGUGACAGCACCUUGUUCAAGGACACGCAGAUGAU
rnacentral:lncRNA from 10 species